AUAAAAGAAUAAUUGCAUAAUGGACACAACCAACGGUAUGUUGAUGGAGAUAUUUUCUUCUUCUUCUUCUUCUUCUUUUUUUUU
rnacentral:ribozyme from 13 species